UAUGCGCUUACCUUAACUGAUACCUUGCAGAAACCUAGGCGAGACAGGGCACGUGGUAAAGAUCGUCUGACAAGAUCGUCCGAAUACGUCACAUCGCCUCCCCCUGCCUAAAGUUAAUAUAUCUCACGUCACCCCUAUGAAAUAAAGCGGAGAAAAAUC